AAUAAAUUGUGCCAUAUUUUACUCUUAAAUAUGGAUCAUGAUAAUGAACAAAGAAUUAUUUUGAAAUAUUUUAUAAUCUUUGAAAAUCUAAAUUCUGUUGCUUAAGUAAUGUCAUAAAAAAUAAAACAAGCACUUUAAGAAGUAAAAAAAUUAUCUGAUUAUUAUUAGUUAGUUGUUAAUAAAUUGAUUUUCUGUUUAAAGUGCUUAUGUGGGGAGAGCUAGCAUAACUUGAUAAUAGAGAGUAGCAGUAAAUACAGUCUGAGUUUAUUGUACUAGCAGAAGCCUUGAUAAGAGGCUCAAAGAACAUAAAGCUGAUAUAGCGGCUGGUAGGUUAACAAUGGCAUUGGCAAGUAAGGUCUAUGAACAGGUAGUGACGAUUGAUUGGGGAGGGGCAACCAUAAUAAAGCCAGUAUUUGAUUAUAGAGGACUCACUACUGUUGAAGCUAUAGAGUUAGAGAGAAUGAAGCAGUGUCAAGAUACCAUCAAUCAUAAUAGCCCCCUGGUGCUCCCUCCGUCAUGGAGGUGGUAUGCAAUCAACAACUUAUGACUUAAUACGUGAUCUCUGAUUUCACCUCAUGGUGUACAUGAAUCCAAACAUUAAUUGGCUGGACAAAUAUAACAUUAUGUUUUAAUACCCUGGAACAUGGAAGUAUACUGCAUGUUGCAUUAAAAGGGUCAUAUAACUAAGAUGAUGUGGUGGGAAGUCCCUGUGCAGAGGAACGUAUGAACUCCGAUCUAUUGUAGUGAACUUGUAUUUCUUUAUUUUAAUUUUUUUUACUUCUAAUCUAUUUACAAAUUAUCAUAUUAUAUUUUUGGAGUUGUUAUUGUUUUGUAUACUUUAUAAAAUUAGUUAGAGCUAAUAGUUUAUUCAUGUUAAUGUGUA
rnacentral:lncRNA from 1 species